GCCGCCCCUUUUUAAGAUAUUCAGGCCCUCUGCCCCUUUUAAAGACCUUAAAAUCAUGUCCAAGUUGCAUCCAAGCCAUGUAUUAGAUUGCUGUUAUGACUCCAGGAUCAAACUGGACGGUUUGAUUGCACCCGCAACUGCUCGAUCGCAUGCACCCACACCUAGACUGUCCCUGGACUGUGUGAAGCAUGGUGCGUGGACUGCACAUCGCUCGAU
rnacentral:lncRNA from 1 species